rnacentral:rRNA from 1 species
GACGUAGGGAGCGAGCGUUGUCCGGAUUCAUUGGGCGUAAAGCGCGCGCAGGCGGCCAUGCCAGUCGGGUGUGAAAGUCCGGGGCUCAACUCCGGAUCUGCGGUGGGUACGGGCAGACUAGAGUGAUGUAGGGGAGACUGGAAUUCCUGGUGUAGCGGUGAAAUGCGCAGAUAUCAGGAGGAACACCGAUGGCGAAGGCAGGUCUCUGGGCAUUAACUGACGCUGAGGAGCGAAAGCAUGGGGAGCGAACAGG